CAGCACCCCACACACACACAGCCCCCCCGACACACACACACAGCACCCCACAGACACACACACACAGAACCCCACAGACACACACAGCACCCCACAGACACACACAGCACCCCACAGACACACACAGCACCCUCAGACACACACAACACCCUCAGACAGACAGCACCCUCACUCCCACACAUAUACAGCACAUAUAUUAUAUAAAAAAAACCCUCAGUGAGUUAACAGACAAAUAAAAUUAGAAACCCAGAAUGUGACGGCAGAUAAAAACACCCUCACACACAGCACCCCUCUUACACAAACACGCUGCGCACCUCAC